rfam:Felis catus isolate Cinnamon breed Abyssinian chromosome A3, whole genome shotgun sequence.
ACCUGCUUGGCUCAGUGGGUUGAGCGUCUGACUUUAGCUCAGGUCAUGAUCUCAUGGUUUGUGAGUUCAAGCCCCACAUCAGUGUU